rnacentral:rRNA from 1 species
UGGGGAAUUUUGGACAAUGGGCGCAAGCCUGAUCCAGCCAUGCCGCGUGAGUGAAGAAGGCCUUCGGGUUGUAAAGCUCUUUCAGACGGAAAGAAAUCUCUCAGGAUAAUACCUUGGGAGGAUGACGGUACCGUAAGAAGAAGCACCGGCUAACUACGUGCCAGCAGCCGCGGUAAUACGUAGGGUGCGAGCGUUAAUCGGAAUUACUGGGCGUAAAGCGUGCGCAGGCGGUGAUGUAAGACAGAUGUGAAAUCCCCGGGCUCAACCUGGGAACUGCGUUUGUGACUGCAUCACUCGAGUACGGCAGAGGGAGGUGGAAUUCCGCGUGUAGCAGUGAAAUGCGUAGAUAUGCGGAGGAACACCGAUGGCGAAGGCAGCCUCCUGGGCCAGUACUGACGCUCAUGCACGAAAGCGUGGGGAGCAAACA